UACGUAGGGUGCAAGCGUUGUCCGGAAUUAUUGGGCGUAAAGAGCUCGUAGGCGGUUUGUCGCGUCUGCUGUGAAAAUCCAGGGCUUAACCCUGGACCUGCAGUGGGUACGGGCAGACUAGAGUGCGGUAUGGGAGAUCGGAAUUCCUGGUGUAGCGGUGAAAUGCGCAGAUAUCAGGAGGAACACCGGUGGCGAAGGCGGAUCUCUGGGCCGUAACUGACGCUGAGGAGCGAAAGCAUGGGGAGCGAACAGG
rnacentral:rRNA from 1 species